GGUGUGUUUGAUUAGGGAGAUAUCCAAAAUAUGUAGUGUUGGGGGGGCCUCCAGGAACAGGGUUGGGAACUUUUGACCUACAUGAACAGUUUUAACUUACUCAAAGAGCAUGUGCAGUGCUAUAGAAAGAGCUGUUAAGCUCAGGUGGAGCAGCUGGAGACAUAGGUGAAUGGACUGACUCAAAGAUUUAGCCAAACUUUGAUGGAACAUUUCAAAGCUGACAUCAAGCCUUACAUGAAUGGUAUGAUGACAAAGAAAUGGCUGGAAACAGAUGAAGACUUUAAUGAAGUGAUAUUCAGAAUUGAGAGUUAUUCUGGGCACUGUAAAUCCAUGAGAAAUCCAUCAGCUCAAGUGAGCCCUUACUUCUGCUCAAACAUGGUCGGUAAUGGCUGCAGAAAACCAUUUUUAACAUCUGUGUCUGCAGUCUCAGUUUUUUGUGAAUGAUGUGCACAGUUACGUAGCAAAGCAAUACGUCUCCCAACUGAUGAAAAAGUAUUCAUGCAAAAACACAAAGAAAGAAGAUGCUGCCAUGUAAAUGAGAGAACAGUGGAAUGAGCUGAAGAAACUGUUUCAAGAAAUGGGAUCAUCCUUCCACUGGCUUUAUCCAGUAUGGUUUCACCUUAUGGGGCUUUUCCACUGCACGGUACAGAUCAACUCGACUCGACUCUGCUCGCUUUUUGGGGGUUUUCCACUGUGGAUAGUACCUGGUACCUGAUACUUUUUUAGUACCACCUCAGUCGAGCUUCCAAGUGAGCCGAGCCGAUACUAAAUGUGACGUCAAAACCCUGCAGAUCACUGAUUGGUCAGAGAGAAUUGUCACUACCAGCAUCACUGGAUUUGCGACCUGGGACAUCAACCCUCUAGUUUUAAAGUUAACAACAGCGACAGCAAUAUCAUUUGUUCACAUGACUUUCCAAUUGUAAAAAGAAAUGGCUGUGUGCAAAACCACGGCGUGGUCAAUAAACGAGGUGCAGACGUUCCUCUCGUUAGCAACAAACGAAACGACGCGAAACGAAAAAGUCUUUCAGGAAGUGUCUCAGCUGUUGUCCGCACACGGCUACCACCGGACCUACCAACAGUGUAGGGAAAAGUUAAAAAAAACUUAAAAGUGACUACAGAACCAUCAAGGACCACAACAUCCGGAGUAGUUCAAACAGAAGAAAGUGGAAGUGGUUCUACCAAAUGGACGCUAUCUAUGGCAAUAGACCGGCGAGCAAUGGGAGGGAGAGUGCCCUGGACUCGGCCACGGCAUUGUUGGAGUCCACGAUGGAGGAUGGUACGUUUUGUUACGUUAACUCUACAUUCUGCUUGAAAGCUUCACUUUAUUUAGUUGACCAGCUACUGGAAAGCUUGCUUCUAAAACAACCAGGCAAAAUCACCAUGCAACAAUUGAUUUAUGCAGCACAAUGAGCUAGUAGCUAACAGCUAGCGGUCGUGUUAUUGUUUAUGGUCAGUAAUGUUUGUGUUGCGUUUAAAAUGAUGUCACGGCAGUAGAGGCGGCGCAACUGUGGCGAUCAGCCUAUAAUCCCACCCAUGUUGAGGCAGCACUAAACUGCAGUGGAAAAGCAAGCUCAGAAAAGUAAAGCGAGCAGAGUUGGGUCAAAUCGUAACGUGCAGUGGAAAAGUGCCAUAGUGACAUUAUUGGAAUGGACCAUUUGAAAAAUAUUAAAGAUUUCUUAAAUCCAUUGGUUAGUAAUUACCCAGACAUCAGAUGAGUGUGAAGAACUUUCAAUGCCUCAUAAUUUAUUUUUACUUUUACAAAAAUAGCUGUUAGUGUUACUUACAUACCAUCACAUUUCUAGCCAGAAGCAAUUGUCAGCCAUUCUGUACUUCCGAGGCACUGGUUUUAGUUUAGAGAAGAAGCAUGUGAUCCAUCAGUUUAUUCAGCUUAAACGGGAUGCAGUGAACACUAAUCAUGAGCACUCAUUCUUCUCUGACAUAAAGGUACGUACGUUUUUAUGUUUUUUAUAUUUUCAUAUCACAGUUAAUCAAACUAUUAUGCAUUUUGCAAUUCAAGACAAAAAUUUGAAUCACAAAACAUGUAUUUAGACAAAUAGCAAAUAUUGGUCAGGAUGAACUUGAUUUUGUGAUAUCACUGUAUAGUUUACCAAUUUAAGGAUAGGCUGCUUUAUAAAUACAUGUAUUCACAUUAGGUGAUUCACUUGACUUAAUUUUCUGCCACCGGAACCAUUAGACGGUGUACCAGUUGAAAUAUAUGGAAAAAAUCUCUUGAUAAUUUUGUUUAGAAAAACCUGAACACAACAGGUAUUAGAUUAUUUGGUGUAUGCUUAUACUCAUUGUUAGCUCUAGAGGGAGACAACAAACUACACUGUAGAUAUAAGAUUUGCAUUUCCUCCAUAUUACCCAAUCAUGCAAAAAGAAGUGAUGGAUUCAUUCUGUUUAUCUACUGUGAUAAUUAUGUAAAUGUGGUUUGUAAAACAAAGAAGGGACAAAACAGAGUAGGCUGUCAUUUAAUUUUCAGGUAAUGCUUGACAGACCCAGCUCUUGAAAUAAAAGCUAUUUGGUGGUUGUUCAUAUUUUGUCCCUCCCUUUUCUCUCAUGAUGCUUGCACGUUUUAGCCUUAGCCUAAUGUACUCUCCAAUUCUUAUCAGUCAAAACGCAUGAAAAUGAAAUACACUUAUGCCUGUAACUACAGUGUGUUUUGUAUAGGUUAUGUUAUUA